UGGAAAUCGACACCAUCGGGAGGGUCAGCCAUCGUUGAUGGCGAUUUCCAUCGAGUGAUCAUUAACAGAUGUGAGAGAAUUUUUCGUUCCGAUACAGAACAUUGGCCGCUUACUUUUCUCUACGGUCAGUCAGUUAGGUUAAACCUGAUUCUACGCCGCAUUGCAGGUUCUAUUAUUUUAUGCUACCUAUGCUAUUGAAUGUUGGAUACACUCUGACAAUGAGACAGCGAACGAGAGAUUUCUUUGCAAAUUAUCUCAACAAAUACACGGUUGCGAAAAUGCGUGACAAGCGUUGAGAAACGAGGGUGACCAUUUGCCGGCUCGUUGAUAAGCUCUUAAAUGCGAUAGAAGCUCCAAACUCCGUCAACCCCACCGUGAACGACCCCUUACUUCUUCAUGGUUCUGUAUUCAGCUUCACACACGACGUGUUAUCACGUUUUCACAAAUAUACACAGUCACGCUUGUACGAAGGGCUCGGGGCUCGCCGUCAUCCGGUGUGUUUCUUUCUCCAUCGGAAAAUUUGACUUUCCGAUAGUGAUCAUUCAUCUGGAUUCGAGAUGGAAUUUCGGUUUGGAUAAUUUUUACAUUCAAACGUGAAAAUCUGUCAGCUGUAACUAGUUGGAGAAAUGGUGUCCGUGUUAUCCGUUCGUUUCGUCAUUAGUUCAGUUCUGUUCGGAAAAGUUUCAUUGGUGGUUUCGGUUAACCAGGGUUGGCGUGGGCUAAAUUCGACAGGGGCUGGAAUACGGGUCCCUUUACGACCCUGACGGGAGAGAUAUCUACGAUGCGCGUAAGAAUUCUCAAUUGUCAAUUGCUUUCACGUUUACAUCCGACGAUUCGCACCUUCCGUCGUUUUUAUUCUCGUCACCCCACUGACGCGAAUUAUUAUCAUGGAUUAUUAUGGAUAUUAUGUAUUUGCAGAAAAUGGAUACAAGUUACCCUUGCCUUUGAAUGAACAGUGACCUGUCAAUUACUUACCGAUAUUUCAUUGAAGACCAAGAAAUUAAUUGUUAUUUUUUUUAGUACUCGCUCUGCGCUCGAAGAUCAUAUUUCACAUCUAUUUUGCUUCAACUGAAUUUCAUCAACUUUUCCUGUUUCAGUUGACUCAGUAAUUUCGACUCAAGAUGGCCAUGCUUCAUUCACAGUACAUGACGAGUCCGUGUACUCAUGCGGUAAUUUUAAUUGUUUUACCCACACGUUUUUCCUGCCAUGAAUUUUCUCAUCAACCUAGAAUGAGAUAUGGUUGGUGAAGAUGGCGAUCCCAUCACCCUUCCGAAGAGAUUCGGAGAUUAGGAGGAACGAGCGCGAGAUCCGGAAUCGAAGAAAUGAGAUGAGAUGCGCACGUUGAGUUCGGUAUAAUUUUCACGCCAGCCAAAGACGGAAAGAAAAGCACCAACCGUGAUCGGAAUUGUGCAAAAUUCAUUCGGUCCAAAGUCAAUUCUAGAAUUUUGUCGCUGCCACGUGUCGAUUGGUUGAGAUGACGUACAGAAAUUAUGCAAAUGCCUUGCAAACCAAUGAAACACAAGCCGGAAGCAAUUUGAAUUUAGAACAACCGACUUGUGAAACAUGUCAGAAUUGGAAAACACUCAACGUAUUCAAGGCAAUCAAGAGCUCCAUUAUCCUGGGAAGAAGACGGAUGCUCAUCUUUAUAUAUAGAUAUUAUCGGUUCCCCGAUAAGUACCUAGCUACUUUCCUUCCAAGUGAUCAAUUAAUAAUUUCCCGAGGUUUGAUCAACAGUUUUCUCAAGAGAGUAGAAAGUUCCAUAGCCAUUCUUCACCCUUGAAGUGAAGUACAUCCUCGAUUGAACGGAGAUAUCGACGCUAUGGUAUAAGUAUUUCAAUUGCAGGUCUACAAGUUAUCGAAGUUAUUCGCAGCUCGGUGAAAUUUCGAGAGAUCAUCUCGUGAGUACGCAUAAUAUACGUAGGCAGAUAUUUUAUGUACUUUAUGUACGUACUCAUAACUCAAAAGAUAAAACUAAAGUCGUUAAGAUACGGAGGCUCCGUUUUAACGGGUAUAUAUGGGGCAGAUAUAGAAUCGAUCCCCGUCAAACUCAUGCAUCGUACUGUUCAAGGCUAAUCGGGUUUCUCUCCUGGUCCUCGUCACUCGCUUGCCUAUUCCGUAUCGAGUGAGACUCGACGGGCGUUCCGAUACAUUAUCGCUGUCGAAAUUGGCAACUGUAAUGUACAUUGAGAACAGAGUCGAAACUCAAUAGAAUCAAUACCCAGAUGCGCAAUUAUGAAUUACCCUCGCCAAAUCUUAUAGCCAACUUCCCAAUUAGAAGCGAAAAUACAAGUAAUAACAUAAUCAAUACUCAACCGAUAAUUGGGAGAGCUAUGAAUGUCAGCCGGGACGGAGACUGUAAGAAGUUGGAAAAAAAUCAUGGGAGACAUCAUAAAAUCGUACUUCAAGUAGUUCGAAAAGCCACAUCAUAAACGUUGUGUAAAACGUCUUCGAUGAGGUGUUUCUUGAUCUUUAUUGCCGGCGAUAUACCGUCUACUUUGCACGGUGAAAAGUCCAAUGCUUCAGUCUCGGUCUCGAAGGAAUCGUUAAAUUAGCGAGGUUACGAGUGGGCGAGCUCGAGUAGAAACAUCUUUAGUUCUCGAAGUUGUUUCCGAUUGCUUUUUGAGUCUACUGACUCUCGUUAACGACCGUCGGAUUGGAGGAAUUGCCUCUAAUUAUCGCAAACCCGAUCGCGAAGCCUACCAAACAGAGCUUACCAACUUCAGGGUUGCAUUGUGUCUACGAACACAUAAUAACGACAUUCUCACGACACUUCACCAGGUCGGAAAAAGUGUCGGGGUCCCGCUAAACUUAGCGACUAGAAUUCCCCGUGAAAAUUUAUCAGCAGAAUAAAAGGUUCGAGACCUUGAAAUUGAUUAUCUGUAAAUUUGGCGAGCCCGGUAAUCGCGAAACCUUUCCUUUCCUUUCAUUGUUUCCCUUCCGAAAAUAAUUUGCAAAUCCAAUUUCAGAUGAGGCUCGUAAUCGAGGCGGGACUCCCAGAUUUCGUUCUUCAUCUCUCAUCGCUGACAUACAACGGUCUUCGGAGUCGAGUCGCUGAGGAUUUUAUUCAUAUUCAGUUAUCGAGUUUAAUAUGGAUGUCACAAUGACGACGAUAUUUAAAACGGCUUGGCAAACCGUUCGAACCCCUCCGUCUGCCCCCUCCCGAUCUUGUUGUUGUUCAAAUAUUCUGUUAACCCGGGAAAUCAAGGCAUUGACAUUCGAAGCAGGAUAAUGUGGCUUCAGCGAUCUCGUGAAACGGCGGUAUAAUUCUCAAUACUCCGGGGAAUCAACGGAGUAUUAUUCCCACUUGUUGUUUGCUCGGGUUAUCGGUAUUAUAUUCAUUAUUCCGUGAUUGUUUGAUUAUGUUCGAUGAAUAGCUAAUGAUGAAAUGUCGGUGAAUGCCAUCCCACUUACGCAAAUAACGUAAGACGUGAUUUGUUUUCUUCGUACGAUUGGAGGUUGGACGAGUCGCACGAAUAGCGUAGUGCCGGAUCCAUCGAGUCUCGUGUGGCGUGAUGACUCGCGAUCUCUCAACACGCCACAGUGCGCGAGUCCCUCCUUCGAGUCAACAAACCAAACGUGCUCUUCCGCCUCGGCUUGUACUUUUUACUUCUAUGUUUCCAACUUAUGGCUCGAAGGCAUGCGAGCUUUGGAUCAUAACCGGGCGAAGCAUUAUCUGGAGUACGACCAUGAGAGCGAUGAAAUACGAACAGCUCAUCGCCGCGACAUUGUGGGAUUGCGGCAAAGCGCAGAUAUUAUCCGACACUACAGAGAUCACAAAGAAGAAAUAACAUAAAUAAGCGACGUGUUCAGGAUCGGGGAUCAGGGAGCUUGCGGCGGACUGUUGAUCCAUUCCGCACCCUUAAUAUGGCUCCGGUUAGCGACCGAAACGGAUCUGCUCUAGGGUUGGACUUUGCACAAAGCUUACGGAGAAGUAUCUUAAACUAUAUUUGACAAAAAUGUAGAAAAGUUAAUCACCACAUAACCGUCCAUUGCACCAAAUCAACUUUCACGUACGUACAAGUAAAAUGUCGUACUCACCAAUGGU